rnacentral:rRNA from 1 species
CCUACGGGAGGCAGCAGUGGGGGAUAUUGCACAAUGGGGGGAACCCUGAUGCAGCGACGCCGCGUGGGUGAAGGAGCGUUUCGGCGCGUAAAGCCCUAUCGGUAGGGAAGAAGGAGGACGGUACCUGACUAAGAAGCCCCGGCUAACUACGUGCCAGCAGCCGCGGUAAUACGUAGGGGGCAAGCGUUAUCCGGAUUUACUGGGUGUAAAGGGGGCGCAGACGGCAGCGCAAGCCAGGAGUGAAAGCCCGGGGCCCAACCCCGGGACUGCUCUUGGAACUGCGCGGCUGGAGUGAAGGAGGGGCAGGCGGAAUUCCUGGUGUAGCGGUGAAAGGCGUAGAUAUCAGGAGGAACACCGGUGGCGAAGGCGGCCUGCUGGACUGCGACUGACGUUGAGGCCCGAAAGCGUGGGGAGCAAACAGGAUUAGAUACCCCAGUAGUC